UACGUAGGGGGCGAGCGUUGUCCGGAAUUAUUGGGCGUAAAGGGCGCGUAGGCGGCCAUUUAAGUCUGGUGUGAAAGUGCGGGGCUUAACCCCGUAAAGCAUUGGAAACUGGAUGGCUUGAGGACAGGAGAGGAAAGUGGAAUUCCUAGUGUAGCGGUGAAAUGCGUAGAUAUUAGGAGGAACACCAGUGGCGAAGGCGACUUUCUGGACUGUAACUGACGCUGAGGCGC
rnacentral:rRNA from 1 species